AAUGAACGCUGGCGGCAGGCCUAACACAUGCAAGUCGAACGCCCCGCAAGGGGAGUGGCGCACGGGUGAGUAACGCGUGGGAAUAUGCCCUUCGGUUCGGAAUAACACAGGGAAACUUGUGCUAAUACCGGAUACGAUCUACGGAUGAAAGAUUCAUCGCCGAAGGAGUAGCCCGCGUAGGAUUAGCUAGUUGGUGAGGUAAUGGCUCACCAAGGCGACGAUCCUUAGCUGGUCUGAGAGGAUGAUCAGCCACACUGGGACUGAGACACGGCCCAGACUCCUACGGGAGGCAGCAGUGGGGAAUAUUGGACAAUGGGCGAAAGCCUGAUCCAGCCAUGCCGCGUGAGUGAUGAAGGCCUUAGGGUUGUAAAGCUCUUUAGCCAGGGAAGAUAAUGACUGUACCCUCAGAAUAAGCCCCGGCUAAAUUCGUGCCAGCAGCCGCGGUAA
rnacentral:rRNA from 1 species